rnacentral:rRNA from 1 species
CCUACGGGAGGCAGCAGUAAGGAAUAUUGGUCAAUGGAGGCAACUCUGAACCAGCCAUGCCGCGUGCAGGAAGACUGCCCUAUGGGUUGUAAACUGCUUUUAUCCGGGAAUAAACCUGCUUACGUGUAAGUAGCUGAAUGUACCGGAAGAAUAAGGAUCGGCUAACUCCGUGCCAGCAGCCGCGGUAAUACGGAGGAUCCAAGCGUUAUCCGGAUUUAUUGGGUUUAAAGGUGCGUAGGCGGCCUGUUAAGUCAGGGGUGAAAGACGGUAGCUCAACUAUCGCAGUGCCCUUGAUACUGAUGGGCUUGAAUGGACUAGAGGUAGGCGGAAUGAGACAAGUAGCGGUGAAAUGCAUAGAUAUGUCUCAGAACACCGAUUGCGAAGGCAGCUUACUAUGGCCUUAUUGACGCUGAGGCACGAAAGCGUGGGGAUCAAACAGGAUUAGAUACCCUGGUAGUCCACGACCUAACGAUAGACACUCGCUGUUGGUCGAUACACACGU